GGAAGGAUCAUUUGCACUUUUUUUAAAAAAAAACUAAAUUAAUUUAAUUUUCUAUGGUUUAUAGUUCAGUUCAAUUAACGAUGAAGGUCUUGGCAAAAUAAGUUUUUAUUUAAUUGCGAGAUAUUGUGAUAUAAAAUUACCUAACGCAUACGCUCUAAUAGUUUUUCAUAAUUUAAUUAAGUUUAUCAUAUUAAUGAUAAUUUUUUAUUUAUGUUUUACAUAUUCUUAUGAUAAACUAUAGGUUACUCGCUGAAUUUAAGCAUAUUAAUAAGCGAAGGAAAAUAAAUAAAACUAGAUUCAAUUAGUAAUGGCGAAUGAACAUUGAAUAUACAUCUAUUCAUAAUCUUAAUUUUAAUUAGUUGGAAUACUAAUUUUCAAAAGGUUACAAACCUGUAUAAAUUAAGUUUGUGUAUUUAAAUAAAGUAAUAGUGAAUUAUAUUUCACUAUAAAAGACAAUUACACAAUUGUUAAGUAUAAAUAUAUUAUUGAAUCUGAUAGCAAAAAAGUACCGUGAGGGAACACUGAAAAGAACUUUGAAAAGAGAGUUAAAAGUACUUUAAACCAUACAAAAAUAAGUUUUCGAAUAGAUGUUUACAUUUCUAUUAAUAUAUUAAUUAUUAAUUUUCUAUUUGAAUAUCCCGUCUUGAAACACGGACCAAGGAGUCUAAAGGGUAUGCAAGUUUUACAAAUUAUGGCAUAAGGAAACUAAAGGUUGCAUUUAUUUCGAUUUUUGCAGCACAUUUAGCGUAAACUUUAGGACCCGAAAGGUGGUGAACUAUUCCUGGGUAAGGUGAAGUCAGGGGAAACUCUGAUGGAGGCUUGUAGCAAUACUGACGUGCAAAUCGUUUGCAGAACUUGGGUAUAGGGGCGAAAGACUAAUCGAACCACCUAGUAGCUGGUUCCCUU
rnacentral:misc_RNA from 1 species